UGAAAGAGAGAAUCUCAGUUGAGGAACUAUCUCCUCUGAAUUUGCUUCUAGUACUGGGCUUAAAUAGAGAGCCUUGCCCAAGCUCAGCAGGCAUCUACCCCUGAGCUGCAUCCCAAGCUAUGUCAUUGGAUUGUCUUUCAGGCAAGCUCCUGCUUCCUGCCCUGUGUGAGUUCCAGUCCUGACUUCCUUUGGUGAUGAACAGCAAUGUGGAAGUGUAAGCUGAAUAAACCCUUUCCUCCCC
rnacentral:lncRNA from 1 species